CCUACGGGAGGCAGCAGUGGGGAAUAUUGCACAAUGGGGGAAACCCUGAUGCAGCGACGCCGCGUGAGUGAAGAAGUAAUUCGUUAUGUAAAGCUCUAUCAGCAGGGAAGAAAAGGACGGUACCUGAGUAAGAAGCCCCGGCUAACUACGUGCCAGCAGCCGCGGUAAUACGUAGGGGGCAAGCGUUAUCCGGAUUUACUGGGGGUAAAGGGAGCGGAGACGGCAGGGCAAGUCUGGAGUGAAAGGCGGGGGCUCCACCCCCGGACGGCUCUGGAAACGGUACGGCUGGAGUGCAGGAGAGGUCGGUUGCUUUCCUCGUGUCGCGGUGAACUGCGUCGCUAUUAGGCGG
rnacentral:rRNA from 1 species